rnacentral:rRNA from 1 species
UACGAAGGGGGCUAGCGUUGCUCGGAAUCACUGGGCGUAAAGCGCACGUAGGCGGACUCUUAAGUCGGUGGUGAAAUCCUGGAGCUCAACUCCAGAACUGCCUUCGAUACUGAGAGUCUCGAGUCCGGGAGAGGUGAGUGGAACUGCGAGUGUAGAGGUGGAAUUCGUAGAUAUUCGCAAGAACACCAGUGGCGAAGGCGGCUCACUGGCCCGGUACUGACGCUGAGGUGCGAAAGCGUGGGGAGCAAACAGG